UACAGAGGGGGCAAGCGUUGUUCGGAAUUACUGGGCGUAAAGGGCGCGUAGGCGGCCUGUUAAGUCGAACGUGAAAUCCCCGGGCUCAACCCGGGAACUGCGUCCGAUACUGGCAGGCUCGAAUCCGGGAGAGGGAUGCGGAAUUCCAGGUGUAGCGGUGAAAUGCGUAGAUAUCGUAAGGAAGACCAGUGGCGAAGGCGGGUCUCUGGACAGUUCCUGACGGCUGAGGCACGAAGGUCAGGGGAGGCAAACGGG
rnacentral:rRNA from 1 species